GCUCCGGUGGUCUAGUGGUUAGAGCGUCCUCAUCUGAUGCGGGAGGUCGUGGGUUCGAACCUCGGCUGAGUCA